AUUGAACGCUGGCGGCAGGCCUAACACAUGCAAGUCGAGCGGAGCGGCGGACGGGUGAUUAAUGCCUAGUGAUCUGCAUGUUAGUGGGGGAUCACGUCCGGACACGGGCGCUAAUACCGCAUACUAUCAGAUCAGCCUCGGUCGGAUUAGCUAGUUGGUGGGGUAAAGGCCUACCAAGGCGACGAUUUCUAGCUGGUCUGAGAGGAUGAUCAGCCACACGGGGACUGAGACACGGCCCAGACGCCUACGGGAGGCAGCAGUGGGGAAUAUUGCACAAUGGGCGCAAGCCUGAUGCAGCCAUGCCGCGUGUAUGAAGAAGGCCUUAGGGUUGUAAAGCACUGUCAGCGGGGAGGCGUUACCCGAAGAAGAAGCACCGGCUAACUCCGUGCCAGCAGCCGCGGUAAUAC
rnacentral:rRNA from 1 species